GCAGAGGUUGUACUCCAGCCUGGGAGACAGAGUGAGACUCUGUCUCAAAAAAAAAAGGAAAAGAAAAAAGAAACGAAAAAAAAAAAAAGGAAAUCAUAAGGCAGCUUUAUUUUUAAGAGAAUAAAUAGGCUUAUUGUUAACAGAUAUAUUUUAGGAAAUUAUUCUAACUACCGUGCUUGGCUGGGGCUAAAGUCUCAACAAUAUUAUUCUGACUCAAGCCAGUGCAGAGAGGCCUUCCCAGGGCCUGAAGCUUGCACAGUAAAAUUCAGGCAGUGCCCAGAACACAAUGGACCUGGAACUCCAGUCUAAAAAAACAAACAUAACUAGAACAAUCUAGGAGGAAGAAAUGAGACAAUGUGUCAUGGACAUUUCUAAACAAAGCGAACCCAGAAAUACUCAUCACUCUAAUGUGCAUCAUGGGAAAUGAUACGACUUCAUGCUUCAUCAGAAACUUCUGGAGUUGGUUUCAAGAAGGCCCUGAGUUCUAAUCUACUGCUGCCCAAAUGCACCUGGCCUUCAGAACCCUGCCCACCCCGCCCACAAGUUCCCAUGAGCCUCCACUCCUUAUCACUCUUCCUGGCUCCUGGCUAUAUUUUAGACUGCUUUUUUAGGGGUCUUCUUCCGCUGAUUGAUCCUCUCAUUGGUCAACAAAGUGUUUUUUGAGGGUUGGCACCAGGGUGCUAAGGCAUCACAGUGAGCAGAACGAAGUCGGGCUCUGGCCUUGUGGAGAUCACAGGCGAGGUGCGGGUCCUGCCUUGCUGGCUCUCUGCUGGUGAAUGCAUUUGUUCCAGAGCUGCAUCUGUGACGGUAGUUGAGCGGGUUGACUCGUCUAUACUGAUAACCUCCCAAUCCACAUCGAUAGUUCUGAGUCCUCCCCUGACUGCAAAACUCACACUUGCUGCACUUCCUGGACACUUCCACGGGGCUGUAUUGCUGGGACCUUGCAUUUAGGAUGACCUGAGCUGAGUCUAUCACAAUCCUCCAAUAAGAGUGUUCCUCUCUCAUGCCUUCUCUGGAGGCUAAUGAGCAAAUGACAGUAUUAGACACCCAGAUGAGAAAUGUCAGCCACCCCUCGCUGCUUCUUCCUUUCUCUUACAUUCAGUCAGUCGUCAAAUGUCGUUAACUGUACCUCCACAAUCACUCUUGUAUCUCUAUACUCUAAUUUUCUAUAACUUAAACCACUGUAAAAGCAUCCUAACUGACUUUUUUUUGCCUCAUGCCUCCUUAAUCCAUCUCUGCAUUGCUAUUGGAGUAACUUCCUAAACUCCAGGUUGGCUCAUCUUACUCCUUUAAAACUGUCCUCGUCUCCCAUGCCUAUAGAGCAAUGGUGGAAAAAAACGAAGAGGAUGUUGAUAGUGGCUCAAGUUUGAAGAUGAUGAUGGGAUAAUUUUACUGAGCCCUACUGUGUACCAGCUACUUUAAGUACUUUGCAUGUAUCUUAUUUAAAUUUCAAAUAUGCCAAUGAGGUGAUUACAACGAUUGUCAUUCAUUUAUGGAUAAGGAAACUAAUGAAAGCAUGCCAUGGCUGGGCGCGAUGGCUCAUGCCUGUAAUCCCAACACUUUGGGAGGCCGAAGCGGGCAGAUCACCUGAGCUCGGGAGUUUG
rnacentral:lncRNA from 10 species